rnacentral:rRNA from 1 species
UACGGGGGGAGCAAGCGUUGUUCGGAUUUACUGGGCGUAAAGGGCGCGUAGGCGGUCGUGACAAGUCACUUGUGAAAUCUCCGGGCUUAACUCGGAACGGUCAAGUGAUACUGUCGGACUAGAGUACAGAAGGGGCAACUGGAAUUCUCGGGUGUAGCGGUGAAAUGCGUAGAUAUCGAGAGGAACACCUGCGGCGAAGGCGGGUUGCUGGGCUGAUACUGAGCUGGAGGCGCGAAAGCCAGGGGAGCG